rnacentral:rRNA from 14 species
AACGCGGAGACGACGGCGGGAGCCCCGAGCAGAGUUCUCUUUUCUUCUUAACGGUCUAUCACCCUGAAAUCGGUUUAUCCGGAGCUAGGGUUUAAUGGCCGGAAGAGCCCAGCACCUCUGCUGGGUUCGGUGCGCUCUCGACGUCCCUUGAAAAUCCGCG